rnacentral:rRNA from 1 species
ACCCCUGUGAACAUACCACUUGUUGCCUCGGCGGAUCAGCCCGCUCCCGGUAAAACGGGACGGCCCGCCAGAGGACCCCUAAACUCUGUUUCUAUAUGUAACUUCUGAGUAAAACCAUAAAUAAAUCAAAACUUUCAACAACGGAUCUCUUGGUUCUGGCAUCGAUGAAGAACGCAGCAAAAUGCGAUAAGUAAUGUGAAUUGCAGAAUUCAGUGAAUCAUCGAAUCUUUGAACGCACAUUGCGCCCGCCAGUAUUCUGGCGGGCAUGCCUGUUCGAGCGUCAUUUCAACCCUCAAGCACAGCUUGGUGUUGGGACUCGCGUUAAUUCGCGUUCCUCAAAUUGAUUGGCGGUCACGUCGAGCUUCCAUAGCGUAGUAGUAAAACCCUCGUUACUGGUAAUCGUCGCGGCCACGCCGUUAAACCCCAACUUCUGAAUGUUGACCUCGGAUCAGGUAGGAAUACCCGCUGAACUUAAGCAUAUCAAUAGCGGAGG